CAUGUCUUUUUGAUUAUAAUUUAAAGUCUAACCUGCCCUAUGAAUUUUAAAUGGCCGCAGUAUUUUGACUGUGCAAAGGUAGCAUAAUAAUUAGUUUUUUAAUUGAGAACUGGUAUGAAUGGUUGAACGAGAAAAAUACUGUCUCAAUUUAAUUUGAAUUAGAAUUUUAUUUUUAAGUAAAAAAGCUUAAAUAAUUUUAAAAGACGAGAAGACCCUAUAGAGUUUUAUAUUAUUUAGUAUAUUUAAAAAUUAAAGUAUUUUAGAUUUAAUUAUAUUAACUAGUAUUUAGUUGGGGUGAUUGAAAAAUUUAAAUAACUUUUUUUAUAUAAAAACAUUAAUUUAUGAGUAUAUGAUCCAUAUUAUAUUAUGAUUAUAAGAUUAAAUUACCUUAGGGAUAACAGCGUUAUUUUUUUUGAGAGUUCUUAUCGAAAAAAGAGUUUGCGACC
rnacentral:rRNA from 1 species